rnacentral:rRNA from 1 species
GAUGAACGCUGGCGGCGUGCUUAACACAUGCAAGUCGAACGGUGAAGCAGGAGCUUGCUCCUGUGGAUCAGUGGCGAACGGGUGAGUAACACGUGAGUAACCUGCCCCAGACUCUGGGAUAAGCGUUGGAAACGACGUCUAAUACCGGAUACGAGACGAGAAGGCACCUUCAUCGUCUGGAAAGAAUUUCGGUCUGGGAUGGACUCGCGGCCUAUCAGGUAGUUGGUGAGGUAACGGCCCACCAAGCCUACGACGGGUAGCCGGCCUGAGAGGGUGACCGGCCACACUGGGACUGAGACACGGCCCAGACUCCUACGGGAGGCAGCAGUGGGGAAUAUUGCACAAUGGGCGCAAGCCUGAUGCAGCAACGCCGCGUGAGGGACGACGGCCUUCGGGUUGUAAACCUCUUUUAGCAGGGAAGAAGCGAAAGUGACGGUACCUGCAGAAAAAGCACCGGCUAACUACGUGCCAGCCGCCGCGGUAACAC